rnacentral:lncRNA from 1 species
CAUAGUGGUUUGGUUGAAUGAAAUGGCAUUUCAUAACAUGCAGCACAGCACCAUCUGCUGGCUUAACAAUGGGCCAUAGACUAUCAGGAAAACACAUCUUGUGUCUCAACCAAGCAUCCAGGUUAAUAAAACUUUGCCCAAGUUCACAUGGUAUCUUUCCUAGAGUCAGUAAAUGAAAGCCAAUGAAAAUAUUGUGUUGUCGAAGGCUUUCAUGGCCGGGAUCACAGGGUUGUUGCAUGUUUUCCGAGCUGUAUGUCCAUGUUCCAGAAGUAUUCUUCUGUGCUUGGAGCCUGGAGCAACGUCAAUACCAGACAAUUUCACCUUAUGUCUGGAGGCUCUGUCGAACUGGUUACGUGCUAGUAGACUGAAGGUGAACCUGGCGAAGACUGAGAUUCUCUGGCAUGGCCGCUCGACUGGUCUGACCCAUUUGCUACCCACCUUCGAUGGUGCUGCCCUAUCUCCUUCGCCUUCCGUUAAGAGGCUGGGUGUCAUUUUGGAUUUGCAGCUGACAAUGGAAGCUCAGGCAGUUAGCAAACAGGCCUUUUUCCAUCUACGACAAGCGAGGCAACUGGCACCCUAUCUAUCUGAUGAGGCUCUGGCAACAGUCAUCCAUGCCACGGUCACAUCUAGGCUGGACUAUUGCAACGCCCUGUAUGUUGGGCUUCCGAUGUCCACGACCCGAAAGCUCCGUAUUGUUCAGAAUGCGGCAGCCAGGCUACUCACAAGAACACCCAUGAAAUGCCACAUAACACCAGUGCUGCAGCAUCUGCAUUGGCUUCCAACUGAUUACCGUGGUCUAUAUAAGAUGCUAGUUCUGACCUUUAAUACUCUUUACGGCCAGGGCCCAUCGUACCUUAGGGACCGUCUCUCCUUCUCCCAUCAUCGGAGGUCGCAACGACCAUCCCAGCGUGACUUACUUUAUGUACCAGGUCCUAGAGAAGUGCACUUGGAAAGGACCAGGCGCAGAGCUUUUUCUAUUUCUGCCCCUGCCUUAUGGAAUGCCUUGCCGCCCCAUAUGAGAGCCAUGCGUGAGUUAGGGCCUUUUAC